AAGGAGGAUCCAUGCCGCAGCGCGGAGGGAGAGAGCUGAGGGUGCCGGGUGCCGGGCUGCCCAGACAGCAUCAUUGACAGGACCACCACCCCCCAGUCUCAAGCUGCUCUGCAGCUUGGAAGCUCUGCAAAGCUAGCCAUGGGGAAGAGAAUAUCAAGAUCUUACGUAUUCCAAGCUAGCCUCAAAUUCUGUGUCCUUACCAAUCAGCGACACCAGCUGAGAACGUGAAAUGAAGAGGAUGAGCAGGAAAUACAGGGUCAGCCAGGAAACAGGCCUGUGUUUACAACUCAACUUACUCCUCCCUGUCUGUACCUUCUCUUUAUUGACAUGUGAAAUAUGGGUUGUUGCAAUAGCUGUUCAGGCAGAAAAUAUUAAUCAGAAUUAUCU